rnacentral:rRNA from 1 species
GGGUGACGGGGAAUCAGGGUUCGAUACCGGAGAGGGAGCCUGAGAAACGGCUACCACAUCCAAGGAAGGCAGCAGGCACGCAAAUUACCCACUCCCGGCUCGGGGAGGUAGUGACGAAAAUAACAAUACGAGACUCAUCCGAGGCUUCGUAAUUGGAAUGUGUACACUUUAAAUCCUUUAACGAGGAUCUAUUGGAGGGCAAGUCUGGUGCCAGCAGCCGCGGUAAUUCCAGCUCCAAUAGCGUAUAUUAAAGUUGCUGCGGUUAAAAAGCUCGUAGUUGGAUCUCAGUCUCGGUCGGACGGUCCACUUCACGGUGGUACUGUUCGAAUCGGACAUUUGGCCGCCUUUCUCAGUAUGCUCUUCACUGAGUGUAUUGGGAGAGUGGCACGUUUACUUUGAAAAAAUUAGAGUGCUCAAAGCAGGCAAUUGCCUGAAUCUUCGUGCAUGGAAUGAUGGAAUAGGGCCUCGGUUCUAUUUUGUUGGUUUCCGGAACUCGAGGUAAUGAUUAAGAGGGACGGACGGGGGCAUCCGUAUUGCGACGUUAGAGGUGAAAUUCUUAGAUCGUCGCAAGACGAACUACUGCGAAAGCAUUUGCCAAGAAUGUUUUCAUUAAUCAAGAACGAAAGUCAGAGGUUCGAAGGCGAUCAGAUACCGCCCUAGUUCUGACCUUAAACGAUGCUAUCUGGCGAUCCGUCGGUGUUAAUUCCAAUGACCCGACGGGCAGCUUCCGGGAAACCAAAGUGUUCAAGUUCCGGGGGAAGUAUGGUUGCAAAACUGGAACUUAAAGGAAUUGACGGAAGGGCACCACCAGGAGUGGAGCCUGUGGCUUAAUUUGACCCAACACGGGAAAUCUCACCAGGCCCGGACACUGGCAGGAUUGACAGAUUGAUAGCUCUUUCUUGAUUCAGUGGGUGGUGGUGCAUGGCCGUUCUUAGUUGGUGGAGUGAUUUGUCUGGUUAAUUCCGAUAACGAACGAGACCCCGUCCUACUUACUAGACUGAGGAUUCUUUUGUCCUCAGAAUCUUCUUAGAGGGACAACUGGCGUUUAUCUAGCUACAUGAAAUGGGGCAAUAACAGGUCUGUGAUGCCCUUAGAUGUUCUGGGCCGCACACGCGCUACACUGAAGGGAUCAUCGUGUUUGUCCUAGCCUGAAAAGGCCGGGAAAUCCGUUGAAAUCUCUUCGUGCUAGGGAUUGAGGCUUGCAAUUUUUUCUCAUGAACGAGGAAUUCCCAGUAAGUGCGAGUCAUAAGCUCGCGCUGAUUACGUCCCUGCCCUUUGUACACACCGCCCGUCGCUACUACCGAUUGGAUGAUUUAGUGAGGCCUUCGGACUGGCUGCUAGUGGGGCACUUGUGUCCUGCUGGUGGAUCGGGAAGAUGUUCAAACUGUAUCAUCUAGAGGAAGUAAAAGUCGUAACAAGGUU